rnacentral:rRNA from 1 species
GUGCACCAGGCGCGAAACUUCACACUGUGCGAAAGCACGAUGAGGGAAUCCCAAGUGCUUGCGCGUAAGUGUAAGCUGUUUCUCUGUCUAAAACGCAGAGAGAGUAAGGGCUGGGUGAGACGGGUGCCAGCCGCCGCGGUAAUACCUGCAGCUCAAGUGGUGACCGUUAUUAUUGGGCCUAAAACGUCCGUAGCCGGUUUAAUAAAUGCCUGGGUAAAUUGUGUAGCUUAACUAUACGAAUUCCGGGUAGACUGUUAAACUUGAGACCGGGAGAAGUUAGAGGUACUCCUGGGGUAGAGGUGAAAUUCUGUAAUCCUAGGGGGACCACCAGUGGCGAAGGCGUCUAACUAGAACGGGUCUGACGGUGAGGGACGAAGCCCUGGGGCGCAAACGGGGAUUAGAUACCCCGUAGU